rnacentral:tRNA from 1 species
CUUUAGCUCAGUUGGUAGAGCAACUGACUCUUAAUCAGUGGGUCUAGGGUUCGAGUCCCU